rnacentral:rRNA from 1 species
GAAGCAGUACCGGAAGGAGCUGUGGACUGUAUGGAAGAGAGAAUGCCGGAAUGAGUAGCGAGAGGAAGGUGGGAAUCCUUCCGGCCGAAUAUCCAAGGUUUCCAGGGUAAAGCUGAUCUGCCCUGGGUAAGUCGGGACCUAAGGCGAGGCCGAGAGGCGUAGUCGAUGGACAACAGGCAGAAAUUCCUGUACUGCUGUACAACAGAACUGUGGGGACGCAGAAAGAGAGCGCGAGCCGGGAAUGGAGAGACCGGUGCAAGCGGGGUACCAGUCCGGUUGGAAAAACCGCCGGGCAAUGGGAAGACGUGAUGCGGAGCGAAGAAAAAGUAGUGAAGCGCGUGAGCUGGCUGCCAAGAAAAGCCGCUAUUGUUUGUACAGUACCCGUACCGUAAACCGACACAGGUGGAUGAGGAGAGAAUCCUAAGGCCGACGGGAGAAGCAUUGUUAAGGAACUCGGCAAAAUGACUCCGUAACUUCGGGAGAAGGAGUGCCAGUGAGAGCUGGCCGCAGAGAAUAGGCCCAAGCAACUGUUUAGCAAAAACACAGGUCUAUGCAAAACCGAAAGGUGAGGUAUAUGGGCUGACGCCUGCCCGGUGCUGGAAGGUUAAGGGGAGAGGUUAGCGCAAGCGAAGCUUUGAACUUAAGCCCCAGUAAACGGCGGCCGUAACUAUAACGGUCCUAAGGUAGCGAAAUUCCUUGUCGGGUAAGUUCCGACCCGCACGAAAGGCGUAAUGAUUUGGGCACUGUCUCGACAAUGCACCCGGUGAAAUUGAAGUACCAGUGAAGAUGCUGGUUACCUGCGCCAGGACGGAAAGACCCCAUGGAGCUUUACUCCAGCUUGAUACUGGGAUUCGGUAUUGCAUGUACAGGAUAGGUGGGAGGCUAAGAAGUAAGGACGCCAGUCCUUAUGGAGCCGCUGUUGGGAUACCACCCUUGCGGUAUUGGGUUUCUAACCAGCAGCCGUGACCCGGCUGGGGGACAAUGUCAGGUGGGGAGUUUGACUGGGGCGGUCGCCUCCGAAAGGGUAUCGGAGGCGCUCAAAGGUUCCCUCAGAAUGGACGGAAACCAUUCGAAGAGUGCAAAGGCAGAAGGGAGCUUGACUGCGACACCGACGGGUGGAGCAGGUACGAAAGUAGGACUUAGUGAUCCGGUGGUAUAAAGUGGGAUUGCCAUCGCUCAACGGAUAAAAGCUACCCUGGGGAUAACAGGCUUAUCACUCCCAAGAGUUCACAUCGACGGAGUGGUUUGGCACCUCGAUGUCGGCUCAUCGCAUCCUGGGGCUGAAGUAGGUCCCAAGGGUUGGGCUGUUCGCCCAUUAAAGCGGUACGCGAGCUGGGUUCAGAACGUCGUGAGACAGUUCGGUCCCUAUCCGGCGUGGGCGUAGGAUAUUUGAGAGGAGCUGUCCUUAGUACGAGAGGACCGGGAUGGACCGGCCGCUGGUGUACCUGUUGCA